AUGGGGUUCCGAUCCGGAAUCGGAAUCAAGGAGGUUCCGGGAGCCCCGAGGAGGGUGUGGGGCUCGGCCAACCCCUGUUGGCGGAGGCCCAGGCACGGAGGCGCCGGAUUCCAAGGCACUAACCCACCUCGUGUCCCAAGCCGGCCAGGCCACUUACAUCGAGCCCAGUGUGCCCAUCAGUGCUCUCCCUCGCGGUCCUCCCGGCACGUUCCCGCCCACGGAACGCCAUGGCCCUGGGUUCGAGGUGCCAGGGCUCAGCGGGCGCCGGGGUGGAGGCGCCCGCCGGGAUCUCAGCCUCCGCCGAGCCAAGGCGAGCAGGGCAGAGCUCACCUCCCUAGCUCCCUCCCCUCUUCUAACAUCCAUGAAUACCCACUUAAUGCCCAGCUUCAGCUCUGCCAGCCCAUCCAUUUCAUAAAGGGACAUCUCAGUCUGAAAUUAUCUUCAAGCCAAAGUGAGGGCCAACCCCAACUUUGUCUUAUUGCUAGACAUUAAGCACAAGGGCAAUUGAGGAGCCUCUGGCUCCUCCCCUCACCCUAUUCACAAAGAGUCAUGGGGUCCCUGGAACGCUUGUGCCUCUUCUUGCUGACCUGUGCCCCACACCCCACUCUACUGCCUCACACACACACAAUGUACAGGGGGACCUGGCGACAAGGACCACACCCCUGGAGGCAUGGGAUAUGUGUGCUUGUUCUGUGGCUGGUAGCCUCAGCCUCUCCCAGACAGCUGGGCUCUGGGGAACCAGAAAUAACUUGCUGGUCUCCAGCCUCUGCCACCCCACAAGGGUCCCAGCCUGCCUCCCAGCAAGCACCGUGCGGGUGGGGACUCGAGAUAAGAAUAGUGUCUCUUUUCUGUCUCCUCUGACCCUUCUUAAAAAACAAGAAAUUAAAAAGCCACCAUCAGAUGGGUCUCCUGAGGGCUGGGGCAGGAUUCUCUCCCCUUUUUGAACCUAAGCAUCUGCCCCAACACGUCACUUGCCUUUAAGCUCCCCUCAGCCCCUUUCCCACCUCCCAGCUCAUGAGAAAAACAAGGAGAGGGGGAAAUAAAAUUACUAUAAAUUCUACA
rnacentral:lncRNA from 1 species